AGGGAAGGAGGGCCCAAUGCAGCCUCCAAGACCCUCACCAUCUCUUCACCGGCUCCCCCCCCCCAGGUCCUGUAAGAAGUUGGGCCCAGCUGGAAGGGAUUGACCGGAAGCCUCCUCGCCCUCGGCUGGCCUCUGCGGAGAUUCCAGGCCCCACAGAGACCAGGACGUCCCUCAGCGCCACCGCCCCUCGUGCCAAUGCAGCCGGGAAAUCGCCGUUACCCACACUGGGCAAGAGAACCGCACGGGGGCAAUCGGGGAGGCCAGGACAAGGGAAAAGUGGAGGGAGAAGGUUCCAGGUUGGCCGUAUUCAAGAGCAGGCUGAGCAGCGCAGAGGAAGCCCUGGCGGCGCCGGCGCUGCCAAGCUUACUGCGUCCACCCACCCCAGCCCGGUAAACUCUCCGUCGCUCAUGGGGACUGGUUUUCCUCCCAUUUUAAAAUUUUAUAUGGAUAGCCCAUGUCAAUUUAGAAUGAAAUAGAUUUUAAUACACUAAGUAAAAACAAAUUGAAAUAAAAUAAAGGAAUCACUCCAACGGAAAAA
rnacentral:lncRNA from 1 species